rnacentral:misc_RNA from 1 species
GUAGGUGAACCUGCGGAAGGAUCAUUAACAAAUCCGCUGUUCGUUCGUGUGCCAUGCGGGGAUGCCCUUCUCUGCACCGGUGCAUGGACAACACCCGUUCCAUGUGCACGUUUGCUCUGCACAUGACAUUUCUGCAUGUCCUCUGAUACACGAUCAAUCAAUCAUCAAAGAACAACUUUUAACAAUGGAUCUCUAGGCUCCU